CCUACGGGUGGCAGCAGUGAGGAAUAUUGGUCAAUGGACGAGAGUCUGAACCAGCCAAGUAGCGUGAAGGAUGACUGCCCUAUGGGUUGUAAACUUCUUUUAUAUGGGAAUAAAACGUUCCACGUGUGGGAUUUUGUAUGUACCAUAUGAAUAAGGAUCGGCUAACUCCGUGCCAGCAGCCGCGGUAAUACGGAGGAUCCGAGCGUUAUCCGGAUUUAUUGGGUUUAAAGGGAGCGUAGGUGGAUGGUUAAGUCAGUUGUGAAAGUUUGCGGCUCAACCGUAAAAUUGCAGUUGAAACUGGCAGUCUUGAGUACAGUAGAGGUGGGCGGAAUGCGUGGUGUAGCGGUGAAAUGCUUAGAUAUCACGAAGAACUCCGAUUGCGAAGGCAGUUCACUGGACUGCAACUGACACUGAGGCUCGAAAGUGUGGGUAUCAAACAGGAUUAGAUACCCCGGUAGUC
rnacentral:rRNA from 1 species